UACGAAGGGGGCUAGCGUUGCUCGGAAUCACUGGGCGUAAAGCGCACGUAGGCGGUCUUUUAAGUCAGGGGUGAAAUCCUGGAGCUCAACUCCAGAACUGCCUUUGAUACUGGGAGACUUGAGUCCGGGAGAGGUGAGUGGAACUGCGAGUGUAGAGGUGAAAUUCGUAGAUAUUCGCAAGAACACCAGUGGCGAAGGCGGCUCACUGGCCCGAUACUGACGCUGAGGCACGAAAGCGUGGGGAGCAAACAGG
rnacentral:rRNA from 1 species